rnacentral:lncRNA from 1 species
GGACCUCUUUCCUGAACUCCUGUUGCAGGUAGACCUCACCCGAACUCCUACAAGGGCCGGAUUCCGAGCUUCUGCUACAAACGAUCUACUUCAAAUUUAUACCACGAGUGGUCCGUGCUGGAUUCCCACUGUAAGCCUUCACCCGAGCUUCCAUUGUGGACGAAUUCCUUCCGAAUUUCUAUUGCAGACAGGCCUCAGCCGAGAUUCCUCGAUGAAUGAUCCCCAUCCGGGCUUCUACGGAGAUCGAACUUCGAUCGAACUUCUAUAGCGGACAAAUCCCAGGCUCACAAAAUCCAGCAGCUAGACCCCUCCAGUGGAUGAACCUCUCCAGCGCCAUCCGACAUCCGCCGUCGAUCGACCCUCUGCCGAAUUCUGUGCGAAACUGGACUGCAUCUGCGGAAAGCCUCUGACCAAGCUCCUACGGCAAGUGGCCCUCGCCUGCAGCCUCAACGCCCAAGGCACCCAAC